AGUGAACGCUGGCGGUAGGCCUAACACAUGCAAGUCGAACGGCAGCACAGUAAGAGCUUGCUCUUACGGGUGGCGAGUGGCGGACGGGUGAGGAAUACAUCUGAAUCUACUUUUUCGUGGGGGAUAACGUAGGGAAACUUACGCUAAUACCGCAUACGACCUACGGGUGAAAGCAGGGGAUCUUCGGACCUUGCGCGAUUGAAUGAGCCGAUGUCGGAUUAGCUAGUUGGCGGGGUAAAGGCCCACCAAGGCGACGAUCCGUAGCUGGUCUGAGAGGAUGAUCAGCCACACUGGAACUGGGACACGGUCCAGACUCCUACGGGAGGCAGCAGUGGGGAAUAUUGGACAAUGGGCGCAAGCCUGAUCCAGCCAUACCGCGUGGGUGAAGAAGGCCUUCGGGUUGUAAAGCCCUUUUGUUGGGAAAGAAAAGCAGCAGGUUAAUACCCCGCUGUUCUGACGGUACCCAAAGAAUAAGCACCGGCUAACUUCGUG
rnacentral:rRNA from 1 species